AGGGAAUCUUCCGCAAUGGGCGCAAGCCUGACGGAGCAACGCCGCGUGAGCGAGGACGGCCUUCGGGUUGUAAAGCUCUGUUCUUCGGGAAGAAGGGCGGGAGGGCGAACAACUCUUCCGCUUGACGGUACCGAAGGAGAAAGCCCCGGCUAACUACGUGCCAGCAGCCGCGGUAAUACGUAGGGGGCGAGCGUUGUCCGGAAUUAUUGGGCGUAAAGCGCGCGUAGGCGGCUGGUUAAGUCCUGUGUGAAAGACCACGGCUCAACCGUGGGGGUGCACGGGAAACUGGCCGGCUUGAGUGCAGGAGAGGGGAGCGGAAUUCCCGGUGUAGCGGUGGAAUGCGUAGAGAUCGGGAGGAACACCAGUGGCGAAGGCGGCUCCCUGGCCUGUAACUGAUGCUGAGGCGCGAAAGCGUGGGGAGCGAAC
rnacentral:rRNA from 1 species